rnacentral:rRNA from 1 species
AACGAACGCUGGCGGCAGGCCUAACACAUGCAAGUCAAACGGGUGUAGCAAUACACUAGUGGCGCACGGGUGAGUAACACGUGGGAAUCUACCUUUCAGUAAGGAAUAACAGCGGGAAACUGCUGCUAAUGCCUUAUGGUCCCUUCGGGGUAAAGAUUUAUCGCUGAAAGAUGAGCCCGCGUAAGAUUAGCUAGUUGGUGGGGUAAAAGCUUACCAAGGCUACGGUCUUUAGCUGGUCUUAGAGGACGAUCAGCCACACUGGAACUGAGAAACGGUCCAGACUCCUACGGGAGGCAGCAGUGGGGAAUAUUGGACAAUGGGGGAAACCCUGAUCCAGCCAUGCCGCGUGAGUGAUGAAGGCCUUCGGGUUGUAAAGCUCUUUAGGGUGGGACGAUAAUGACGGUACCACCAGAAUAAGCCCCGGCUAACUUCGUGCCAGCCGCCGCCGUAA